AUAAAUGAUAAUGAUUUUGGAUGCGCUGUAAUUUGAAUCCUGUUUAGCUGGUUUUUGAUUGACAAAGUAUUGACCACUCCGUAGGUUCCCCGAAAUUCUCCGGAACCGGUUCCGGGUUGGCCAGUGGCCACCAAAGCAUUCCCAAAGACCAGUUUUGAGUUGGUGCUUCAAAAUCAUGAAUUUUGAUACCCAUAUUGUUAGGUUCAUAACGGGAAACUUGCGUUACAAAAGCAAAAUACUCUAUUUUUCAAAACUACGUUGUUUAUGGACCACUCAGUUUUCCAAAAAAUCAUCCAAAUUGCAUCAAACUUUCACCAAAUGUUCACAAACAUGUAUACAACAAGCUUACAUUCUUAGAUUUUUGAUAUCUAUCGUUAAAAAAUUCUAAAAAAUCGAAGCGUAAAAAUAUUGGCAGGGUGGCAAGUCAAGUUACCCCUUAAGUUACAUUGAAUAAAUAAAUAAAUAAAUAAAUAAAACUAUAUAAAUACCAUUUGAGAAAUGGUGAACAGUAAAAAGAAUUUGACAAAGUGUCGCUAGAAAAAAAAAAUCAAAUGGUGUAUACUACCCCUGAUCGUAUAAAUGUCCCAUAUGUACCAUAUAUCGUUUUUGAGUUAUUGAUGCCGUUUGGUUCAAAAUCGUGUGCUCUUUCAAAAGAGCCUAAAGCAUCCAGUAUUUUCUUCUAGAAAUCAGGAGAAAAUCCAGUUUUUUGCGGAAACUUAACACGUUGUUUAGAUUAGAUUGGAUUAGGAAACUUAACACGCGUCCUUGUGUAUGGGACAAACUUCAAGUGCGUUUUUCUCAGCUUGCUGUUUUUGCAUAUGGGACAUUCAUGCGAACAUGGGCAGUAUAAGGUAAAUGGUUCACUAUUUGAGAGACGAUGAGGAAUUAAAAAAAUUUAUUUACCAAAUAGUGGCUAUACAAUUUGGUAAAAUGUUGAAUGAAUAUUUAACAAAUGAUUUUCAAAUGUUUUUUUUUCUAUGCGGGACAUGAAUAAAAUUCACUAAUUUGGGAAAUUUUAUUCACGAUUCCAUGAAAAUCAUGAAAUGAAAAAUAUCACGAAAUCAUGAAUCUAGUUAUUCAUGUAUUCAUGAAUCGAAAUCCAUGAUUUCUCGUACACGUUUUUCCCGCGUAAUUGUAUUUGACAGAAGUAUUUUAAAUUUUCAGGAUUUACCUCUUUACCGAGAAAUGGUCACAACUUUCUACUCCGAAAUCUCACGUAUGCCGCAAAUUAGUGAUCAAGAUAUGUGCACCGCUAUGCAACAAUUAUCUAUCCAACAACAAGAUGAAUUUGAUGUCACUGCAGCCUUGAAGGAACUUUACAUUUAUGUUACAAAAUACAGAGAUCAGAUAAUAGAUUCACUAGAUAUGGACAUUCACGCAAAAAAAUCGCAUUUGAUACAUAAACUCGAAAACAUCGCCUGUACUUUAGAAGGCUUGUAGAAUUUCAUAGCGAUUUAUUUUUGUGUUCAGUUCUCUCACCGGUUUGUCGAUGUAGAUGUGGAGCCGCAGUGUAUUCCAGCCAUUGAUCGUUGUAGUAACAAUUCAAACCGAGCAUAUCCAGUUGUAUAUUAUUUAAAAAAAAGUUUAAGUGGUAAACUCCAAAUAUACUAAGGACUGUAUCGAAAAUGUAUGAAACACUUUAAAAUGCUUUGCAAGAAAUAAAAACAAAAUGAUCUCGGUUGAAAGCAUA